rnacentral:lncRNA from 12 species
CCCGAGUGGACACAUACCUUUCUAGGUCUCAGCUAGGGGUGUUAGGAAUGAGCUCUUCAAGAAAGAAAGGGGAGGAGGAAGAGCCACAUGUGUUAAAUGUUAAAAGUCUGAUUCCUCAUCCAGUAAAAUGAGUGUAACAAUGGCUCCCACCUAAUAUGGCUGCUAGGAACCACAUGAGCUCAGGGUGCUUCUUCAGCACAGGGCCUGGCUCAUGGUGGGCACUCACUGUCAACUGCCAUCAUCGUUACUAUACAUUAACGUUCCCAUCUUUACUGCAUCAUUUGUCAGGAAUGCAUUAGAGACGCUCAAGAAAGAAGGCAGAGGUGCAAAUGGCAGAUGUGUCAAGAGGACUGAUGCCUCUUAAGAGAGUGAAGACGCUCAUAUCAACUGAAUUAAAAUAUAUAAGCACUACAUUCUCUCAGGAGCCAGAGCUGAUGGCGCUAGAAGUCGCCCUUCUGUAUGCACAGCACAAGCAUGGUUUCCAUGGGAACGACGCAGAAGGAGGAUGCUGGCAUUCUGGGCUCUUUGUGGCCUUGGAUAAACAAUGGACUGGAUGCUUCUGAGAAGCCCAGAACCUUCUCUCUACCUUCUCCAGCACUGUUUACAGCCCCUCCCACCGCACAUGCAAAAAAGCCAGUGAAAUGAAAAAUUAAGUCAAUUUGGUCUUCAGCGUGUCAAAAAAAAAACACCCCAAAUCUGUGCUUAUUUUUAUAAACCGAGUAUGUGUGGGUUUUAAAAACUCAUAUCCAUCAAACCCACGUAAGAGUACAAGGAGUCCUAGGAGAGAAUUUGAAUGAGGGCCACUGAUAUUUGUGCAGACAGUUGACACCUGGUCUGCCCAGGCACUCCCUGAUCUCUGUGGUGCUGCCCCUCAGCUAAGGACUCAUCAAUCAAUCAUUCAUUCAUUCAUUCAUUCCAUCAUCCCUUAGGGAGCACCCAGCCAGUGCCAGAUACUGUACCACAAAGAACAUGUACGGAACUCAUGACUUAGUAAGGAAGACACACAAUGGGAAAAUAUAAGUUGCAGGGGAUUCAGACCUAAGGCAGGAGGGAUUUAAGCAGCUCCAGCCCCACGUUAUAACUGGACCAUUAGGGGGUCUGCCCUUUGCUUCCUGUCCUGGUGACUCUUGAGUACAUUGGUCCCAUAGCUGGAGGAGAAUGAUCUUUCUCUUUCCAGAUUUCCUCAUAAGGACUGGAACCUGCCAUUAAGCCCCUGUGUUUCCAGUACCUUUCAGCUCACUUCUCAGUACUGCGCAGAAAGAUUCUGGGCUCUGAGUCAGGAAUCUGGGUGGAAUUUCAACCCUGUCACUUACCAGCUGGGCGAGCUGUGGGUCUGAGUGUCCUCGUCUAUAAAACGGGAACUCUCUCAUCAAGAUUUCCAUGAGGUUAAAUGAAGUAGUAUCUGCAAAGUUGCCGGCACAGUGUUUGGCAUAUGGGAAGAGGUAAAUAAGGAUCGGUCCCUUCCUUUCUACUUUUUAGACCCCACCCACCCACUUCCAACUUCCUGCCAACUGUUUGCCUGGCUCCCCACCUGGAACAGUUGUCAUCUGGGAACCAAUUUGACAACCAGAUUGCACUUUCCUUCCACUGACACCCCUCCGCCGUGCAGCAGAGGGGUACCCCCAGCCUCUGGUGGACCCCACAGGUAGACUGCUUCUUGCAUGUUAGCACUCACCCCUCCAUCCUGCCUCGGUCCUCUCUGCUCUCUUUUGUUGCAAGAAGAUGUGCAAGUAUGAGGUUCCUGUGGGGGAAACCUGGUAAAAUAUAACGGGAGCGACAAUAAAGUAUGUCGAGAAGGCA